CAGUCGAGCGAGCCUGCCUAGAUGAUUUUAGUGCUUGCACUAAAUGAAACUAGAUACAAGCGAGCGGCGGACGGGUGAGUAACACGUGGGUAACCUGCCCAAGAGACUGGGAUAACACCUGGAAACAGAUGCUAAUACCGGAUAACAACACUAGACGCAUGUCUAGAGUUUGAAAGAUGGUUCUGCUAUCACUCUUGGAUGGACCUGCGGUGCAUUAGCUAGUUGGUAAGGUAACGGCUUACCAAGGCAAUGAUGCAUAGCCGAGUUGAGAGACUGAUCGGCCACAUUGGGACUGAGACACGGCCCAAACUCCUACGGGAGGCAGCAGUAGGGAAUCUUCCACAAUGGACGAAAGUCUGAUGGAGCAACGCCGCGUGAGUGAAGAAGGGUUUCGGCUCGUAAGGCUCUGUUGGUAGUGAAGAAAGAUAGAGGUAGUAACUGGCCUUUAUUUGACGGUAAUUACUUAGAAAGUCACGGCUAACUACGUGCCAGCAGCCGCGGUAAUACGUAGGUGGCAAGCGUUGUCCGGAUUUAUUGGGCGUAAAGCGAGUGCAGGCGGUUCAAUAAGUCUGAUGUGAAAGCCUUCGGCUCAACCGGAGAAUUGCAUCAGAAACUGUCGAACUUGAGUGCAGAAGAGGAGAGUGGAACUCCAUGUGUAGCGGUGGAAUGCGUAGAUAUAUGGAAGAACACCAGUGGCGAAGGCGGCUCUCUGGUCUGCAACUGACGCUGAGGCUCGAAAGCAUGGGUAGCGAACAGGAUUAGAUACCCUGGUAGUCCAUGCCGUANACGAUGAGUGCUA
rnacentral:rRNA from 1 species